rnacentral:rRNA from 1 species
AGUCGGACGGGAUCCAUGGCUUCGGCUGUGGUGAGAGUGGCGAACGGGUGAGUAACACGUAGGUUAUCUGCCUUUGGGUGGGGGAUAGCCCAUGGAAACAUGGGGUAAUACCGCAUAAAGCCUUUCGGGGUUAGAGGAGCAAUUGUUCCGCCUGGGGAUGAGCCUGCGGUCCAUUAGCUUGUUGGUGUGGUAAUGGCGCACCAAGGCGACGAUGGAUAGCCGGCCUGAGAGGGUGAACGGCCACACUGGGACUGAGACACGGCCCAGACUCCUACGGGAGGCAGCAGCUAAGAAUCUUCCGCAAUGGGGGAAACCCUGACGGAGCGACGCCGCGUGGACGAUGAAGGCCGGAAGGUUGUAAAGUCCUUUUCUUCGCGAAGAAUAAUGCUGGGAGUGGAAUGCCCGGCAGAUGACGUUAGCGGAGGAAUAAGCCCCGGCCAAUUACGUGCCAGCAGCCGCGGUAACACGUAUGGGGCGAGCGUUGUUCGGAAUUAUUGGGCGUAAAGGGCGUGUAGGCGCGCUGUUAAGCUUGGUGUUAAAGGCCACGGCUCAACCGUGGUUUAGCGCUGAGAACUGGCGGGGCUAGAGUCCUGGAGGGGGAGCUGGAAUCCCCAGGUGUAGGGGUGAA